rnacentral:rRNA from 1 species
AGCGAACGCUGGCGGCAGGCCUAACACAUGCAAGUCGAACGAACCUUUCGGGGUUAGUGGCGGACGGGUGAGGAACACGUGGGAACGUGCCUUUAGGUUCGGAAUAACUCAGGGAAACUUGUGCUAAUACCGAAUGUGCCCUUCGGGGGAAAGAUUAAUCGCCUUUAGAGCGGCCCGCGUCUGAUUAGCUAGUUGGUUGGGGUAAUGGCUCACCAAGGCGACGAUCAGUAGCUGGUCUGAGAGGAUGAUCAGCCACAUUGGGACUGAGACACGGCCCAAAAUCCUACGGGAGGCAGCAGUGGGGAAUCUUGCGCAAUGGGCGAAAGCCUGACGCAGCCAUGCCGGGGGAAUGAUGAAGGUCUUAGGAUUGUAAAAUUCUUUCACCGGGGACGAUAAUGACGGUACCCGGAGAAGAAGCCCCGGCUAACUUCGUG